AGUUUGUCUCUGCUGGUGUUUUGUGAGUGAGCCCAGGAUAGAGUUGACAGUUGAAGCUCCAAGCGCACCAGCCACUGUUGGAAUUGUUUCAGUGAGAAGUUCAGAUGGAAGCAGCUCUAAGGGUGUGGAAACUACAGUAGCAAAGUAACUUACUUGGAGUAAACAUAAACCUAGCAGUUACUUGCUCUGCUACAGUAAGGGAAAAAGUAGACAGAGUCUCUCAAUUGGCUUUGCUACGCUGUUACCUAUUUGCAACAUUCCAUGCUACUUUGAGGCAGAAACUUUUCAUAAGCAAGUGAAGACCAAAAGGAGGCUGGCAAGAGCUGCCAUCCUCAAAAGAUGCACUGCUUGGGAGCAGUCCUUACUUCUGGUAAUGGACUAUUGGAUACAGCAUUGUAAUUUGAAGUCAGUUCAAUUUGAAGUUCAGUUCAUUGUAAAAUAGAAGUCAGCACGUGUGGUAACUAUUGUUUGCUAGAGAGAUAACAAUAAAUGGUCAUCCUUGAAUCAAUUCUAAUGUUCUGAAGACUAUAAAUGCUAAGGGUUUAUCAGUAUGUUAAGUCUAGUGCUACACAGGCACACUGCAUUUUGGAAGUUGUAAGAUGAUUUUUUUGAGAAGUGCUACAAAUUAAAGAACAUUGCAGGGGAAAAAAAAAAAAAAAAAAAGGUGUCCCAUCAGAGGCCUGACCUUCAGAAUAAGCAACAUUACCUUUCUUAUGGUUUAAAAAAGACACCGCUUAAAUUAGUUUGAGAUUUGUUUGGGCUUAAAUUAAAAAAUAAAUAAAUCUUGCAUCAUUGCUAUUCAGUCAUUUGCAACCUGACAUUAAAGGACUUCAAAAAAUUUUGAUUUCUAAGACAAGAGAGAUAUUAAGUUAAAGCCAUAAAGCUUCAGUUCUUCUAUUUUAAGCCUUCAGGGAGACUUCACAGUUAUAUUUUUUCCCAGAGGAAUGCCUGCUCAGCCCAAGUUUUAAUUCCACAGAAGGAAAUGGAAAAAAAAUUGCCUUUUAAUAAGACAAUUUAUGAGUCUAUUCUUCAGUUCUUUGUAAGCAGUAGUCAGAGCUACUUGUAACCUUGCUCUUCCUUAUUAGUGUUUGUGUGCAUAUACACAUUUCUAACUCAUUUUGUUAUAUUUAAUUUACUUGUAUUUGACAUUUUACUGUUAGAACUGUUAAGAAACUAAUUGAAAAGGUUCUAAAAAUUCAUUGUUGUCAUCUGAAAAACAGUAAUGUAAUCUCUAUUUAGAGCACACAUUCUUAAUAGUAGCAGUUUUGGUACCAACAGCCUCUUUGAGAGAUCUAUAAUGUCAUGGCAACCCAGUAUUUAUGCUGCAUAUAAAUUCAAUUAUUUAAUAGCUCUGAGUGUACUAUCUACAGAACUUCAUUAAUCAUUUUAUUAAACAAACAAAAAUCCUUUGUCUAUACACGUAUAUUUCUAACACAAUUCUUAAUUAUACUUUACUCUUCCUAAUUAAUAUAGCAACGUUCUCUUUAACCCUUGGUAUUUUCUAAUUUCACUUUUGGCAAGCAAUCUAAGUGCCUGAGGUAUAAAAACAAACUCAACCAUUUUGUUACUUUAUCUGAGCUUCUGAUACAGAAUUGAAUGUUUGCAUUGUGGUUACUGAAUUUUCCAGUUAGAUCAAUAUUUGCAAAGGAAAUGUACUUGGCGGUAAUGUGAUCCCCUGUAAUCUUUGUGUAUUUUCAGAGUUGUAUUCAUAUAGACGCGUAAAGCACAUGCCUGCUUACACACAAUACUUGGAAUACCUAAGAAAGUAUCAUUUACUACAAUAUACAUAGGAACAUAGUUCUGUGCUUGAUUUACUGGUUACAUGCUAUUUGCUUGUUUUUGGUCUGUUCUGAUAGCAUGUGAGAAAGCAAAAGUAGUAAAUUAUUGUUUUAACCUUGAACUAUGCUGGGAGUACUGUCACACAAAAAAAUGAACAGAGAUAUGUAACUGAAUGAUAAAUUCACGUAUGAUUUCAAACACGGAUUGAAUACACCAAAAAAAAUUCUGCUGACCUUUCAUUCAAUUAUACUGCUAAUCCCAUUCUCAAUCUUCCUUUUUCGUAUUCCAUAUCAAAUUUAACUGCUGAUACCUGGGCCUGUGACACUUCCACCCAGCUUUGACGUAAUGCUUCCUUAACUUCUGUAACCUCACCUCUGUAAGUCUGAUCUCAAUCAUGCAGAAGCUGAGCAUCCCUACCCCUAAAUUGUUCAAGUCAACAUCAACAGCUGCAGAUAACAUACCCCUGCAAAAAGAGGACAUGCUGAUAUUAAGUAUCACAAGCCUACCUGAAACAAUAAGGUUAGUCUUUGAAUAGCUGCUCUUUGCCCUGUACAAAGCCUAGACAAGACAAAAAAGAAAAAAAAAAAAAUUGAAACUAACAUUAGUUAACAUUUUUUAGCAACACUUAAUUCAUGCAGAUACCCAAGAACACAUCUGCAUAAUAAAGAGUAACUGAGAAAAGAUCUUUAAGAUAUAUUUUAUUACAAAUUCCUAUGUUCUUUAAUCAACUUGACAGUUACUGUAGCACGGAUUCCAAACAACUAUCAAUUACAAGUGUUCACACAGCCCUGCUAGUCCUACCAAUAUUACUGAGAAAUCAGUUGCUUCAUUAAGAUAUUGGUUGUAUUCCAGCAGAUCUAAUUUAAAGCUUUAUUAAAGAGAUAUGAAGACAUUCACAAUAUUCAGAAACACAUCUUUCUCAAACAGGAGUUAACUGGAAAGAAUACAAAUAUUCAUAUAAUAAUGUACUCAGUAAUCUGCUGAAAUUCAGUGCCUGUAUUUUUAUUUAGGUGAAUGAUGUACAAAUAGCAGAAGCAUUAAUUUGCACAAACGUUCUUUAUUUCUAAAGUGGCUUAUUUGAUGGUGCUAUUAUCAAAUAUAAUUCAGUAAUGGUUAAAUUAAAGGGUAUUUCAAGGCAUCAAAUGGAUCGGUGUCUUUUUGUUGUUCUUUGUUUCUAACAUGUGCAAAAAUAAUUUUAGUAUGGUGGUGUGCAUGCAUGCUUUGUUCUUGAAAUGUAAUUGGUAUCUGUAUUCUGAAGUGAAGCAGGGAUCCCUUUUUCUUCCAAAGCACCGAUUCAAGCUUUGAAGAUGUUUGGAUAUACAUUGGGAUUUAUAAAGAUGGUGGUAUUUUCUGAAAUUCUGCAGUUACUCUUUCCCCAUUUAACUUACUA